rnacentral:pre_miRNA from 1 species
GAGCUUACGAAUCAUCAGCCAUUGCUCGCUUUGAAAUGCUUUGAUUUGUAAGCUCAGC